rnacentral:lncRNA from 1 species
CAUUAUUAGACCUUCUUUGUUUCGCGCUAUGAUCCCUGAGAUAGAACAUUUUGUUAUUUGAUUAAAGGAAGAGUCAAAGUUGAUUUUUAUGGUGUCAUUAACCGGUGGUUCCCAAACUAAAUGUCCAACGUCACAUGAGUUCUUUAAUCUCUCACUCUCAACAUUUGUCUCUGCAUAGUAGGCCUUAAUAAAUCCCACAACUUCAGUAACUGACUCUCGUACACCAUCAUGAUAAAGCUUAUUACGAUUAUGCCAGAUUGGCCAAAAUGUAAUGGCUCUAAUUUUACAUGCAUCUAGGCUCUGGUUUUCAAAUUCUGUUGCUAACCACUUCUUCCAACUGUUCUCUCUGUUGCAUGUUGGGACUGCCAUUCCCAAACCCCGCAAGACUUGCUGCGUGAAUAAGCAACGUCUAAAUAGGUGAUCCGCCGAUUCCUCUUCAGUUUGACACAUCGGACACCAAGUGUUGACAACCAAAUUCUGGGCUUUUAAAUUAUGUAAAGUAGGUAGAAAGUCAUUAGCAAAUCUCCAUAGAAAAAUUCGUAUUUUGCUUGGAAUUUUGAGCUCCCAAAGCCUUGUAAAGAAAGUAGUAGGGAUUUCAUUAUUUAAUCUUGUACCCCCCUCUGUAAUGAGCCAUCUAUAGCCACUUUUAGCUGUAUAUAUCCCAGUAUUGUCGCCACGCCAUACUAGAACAUCCUGUAUCCUGUUGUUCACCAACGGAAUUGAAAUUAUAUGCUGCAGUUUCUCUUCUCCGAACAGCGUGCGACUAAUUCCUUGUUUCCAGGUAUAAUCUUCCUUGUUAAUUAAAUCCGAUACUUUAGAAUAUCUGAUAUCAAUAUUUUGACGUUCAACUCUACCACUGCCAGGUCCAGGAAGCCACCUAUCAUUCCAUAUGUUAACUGAAUCUCCGUUACCAAUUCGCCAUCCCACUCCUUCCUCGAGAAGAUAUCUAGCUCCCAGAAUACUUCGCCAGGUAUACGAAGGGUAAGCGCCUAACCCUGCACUCAUAAAAUCCCCCUUCGGAAAAUACUUGGC